AUUGAACGCUGGCGGCAGGCUUAACACAUGCAAGUCGAACGAGUGGCGGACGGGUGAGUAAUGUCUGGGAAAUUGCCUGAUGGAGGGGGAUACCUACUGGAACCGGUAGCUAAUCCCGCAUACCAUCGGAUGUGCCCAGAUGGGAUUAGCUAGUAGGUGGGGUAAUGGCUCACCUAGGCGACGAUCCCUAGCUGGUCUGAGAGGAUGACCAGCGAGACUGGAACUGAGACACGGUCCAGACUCCUACGGGAGGCAGCAGUGGGGAAUAUUGCACAAUGGGCGCAAUCCUGAUGCAGCCAUGCCGCGUGUGUGAAGAAGGCCUUCGGGUUGUAAAGUACUUUCAGCGGGGAGGCGUUACCCGCAGAAGAAGCACCGGCUAACUCCGUGCCAGCAGCCGCGGUAAUUC
rnacentral:rRNA from 1 species